rnacentral:rRNA from 1 species
AUUGAACGCUGGCGGCAUGCCUUACACAUGCAAGUCGAACGGCAGCACGGGUGCUUGCACCUGGUGGCGAGUGGCGAACGGGUGAGUAAUACAUCGGAACGUACCUUAUCGUGGGGGAUAACGCAGCGAAAGUUGCGCUAAUACCGCAUACGCCCUGAGGGGGAAAGCGGGGGACCGUAAGGCCUCGCGCGAUUAGAGCGGCCGAUGUCUGAUUAGCUUGUUGGUGAGGUAAAAGCUCACCAAGGCGAUGAGCAGUAGCUGGUCUGAGAGGACGAUCAGCCACGCUGGGACGGAGACACGGCCCAGACUCCUACGGGAGGCAGCAGUGGCGGAUUUUGGACAAUGGGGGCAACCCUGAUCCAGCAAUGCAGCGUGAGUGAAGAAGGCCUUCGGGUUGUAAAGCUCUUUUGUCAGGGAAGAAACAGCAGCUCUAACACAGUCUGCGAAUGACGGUACCUGAAGAAUAAGCACCGGCUAACUACGUGCCAGCCGCCGCCGUAA